UACGUAGGGUGCAAGCGUUAAUCGGAAUUACUGGGCGUAAAGCGUGCGCAGGCGGUGAUGUAAGACAGAUGUGAAAUCCCCGGGCUCAACCUGGGAACUGCAUUUGUGACUGCAUGGCUGGAGUGCGGCAGAGGGGGAUGGAAUUCCGCGUGUAGCAGUGAAAUGCGUAGAUAUGCGGAGGAACACCGAUGGCGAAGGCAAUCCCCUGGGCCUGCACUGACGCUCAUGCACGAAAGCGUGGGGAGCAACAGG
rnacentral:rRNA from 1 species